CAUGACCGAAAAAAGAAACUGCAUAUUAAUUAGCAUUCACUCCCCAUUCCCCCUAGUCCUUUCCCCUGGGCCACAGCGUCCAGCCAAUUAAACGGAUUUUUGUGUUAGCAUGGCCACAAUCAAUACUAGCACAUUUUCAUCCCUCCAAAAAGAAACUCCAUAUUCAUUAGCAUUCACUUCCCUUUUCCCCAGUCCUUCUAUAGAUCUGUCUAUUCUGGAUAUUUCAUAUUUUCUUUUUAUUUUUUAUUUUAUAAAGACGGGGUUUCACCAUGUUGGUAGUCUUGAACACCCGACCUCAGGUGAUCCACCCGCAUUGGCCUCCAAAGUGCUUGGAUAUUUCAUGUUUUAAAAAAAACACCUUCACACAUUUUUACUUGACUUCCAGGAGGAUUCUUCUCUGUAGGAAUCUUUUAUAAUGUUCUGUUGGGGUUUACCCCCUCCCAUUUUACAGGAGAAAAUAUAACCGUUAUCGAUGCUUUGUGAGUGCCAAGCUCGCACGCGGUUUUCUGACGUCUUGGCUACACUGCCCGGCAGGGACUUAGCGAUUUCGACGAGGAAGGCUCGGCCUCCUCCCACUAGCGCGGUUGGGGCGGAGGCCAGGGCCCCCCAGGGUUCUGCCACCGCCCGUUGACCACUACAUUACAGGUGGACAGAGCCACAGGUCCAGUCUCGGAACCCGCGGGUCCCUGAACGUCUCCCUGCUUAGUUUUCUCCUUCCAGAACCGAAGUCCUACCGCCCACCAGGAUCCCAACGGCACCGCCCUCGGGACUCCCACGCACGCGCCGUUCAAACGUACCGGCCCUCCACGGCCCAAUCACCGCGCACCUUGUUUGGACGUCUAGCUGAAAGAGUCCUAUCAGCGAGCGCGAUCCUAGAGACCUGCCUGGAGCCGCAACGCCGGCUUGGGUGGGCAGUGCCAGUACGCUGCAGGGUGACCAGCCGGAGAAGGGCGUCCAGUGCCUUAUUUAUUAAGGUUUCUAAAAGUAACAUGACUGGCCAGGCGUGGUGGCUGAGGUGGGUGGAUCACCUGAAGUCAGGAGUUCGAGACCAGCCUGACCAACAUGGCAAAACCCCAUCUCUACUAAAAAUAUGAAAAAUUAGCCAGGCGCGGUGGUGGGCACCUGUAGUCCCAGCUACUUGGGAGGCCGAGGCAGGAGAAGCGCUUGAACCUGGGAGGCAGAGGUUGCAGUGAGCCGAGAUCGCACCACUGCACACCAGCCUGGGCGACAGAGUCAGACUCUGUCUCAAAAUAAAUAAAUAAAUAAAUGGAAAAAAGUAA